CCUACGGGAGGCAGCAGUGGGGAAUAUUGGACAAUGGGGGCAACCCUGAUCCAGCCAUGCCGCGUGUGUGAAGAAGGCCCUCGGGUUGUAAAGCACUUUCAGUGAGGAAGAACGCCUGGUGGUUAAUACCCAUCAGGAAAGACAUCACUCACAGAAGAAGCACCGGCUAACUCCGUGCCAGCAGCCGCGGUAAUACGGAGGGUGCGAGCGUUAAUCGGAAUUACUGGGCGUAAAGCGCGCGUAGGUGGCUUGAUAAGCCGGUUGUGAAAGCCCCGGGCUCAACCUGGGAACGGCAUCCGGAACUGUCAAGCUAGAGUGCAGGAGAGGAAGGUAGAAUUCCCGGUGUAGCGGUGAAAUGCGUAGAGAUCGGGAGGAAUACCAGUGGCGAAGGCGGCCUUCUGGACUGACACUGACACUGAGGUGCGAAAGCGUGGGUAGCAAACAGGAUUAGAUACCCGAGUAGGC
rnacentral:rRNA from 1 species